AGCGCCGGGGGGAACGGGGAGGGCGCGGAGGUGGGGGGAGACACGAACGUGGCCCCCGCUUUGGGGAGACCCGCCUCUCAUGCUCAGACCUGGUUUCCAACUCAUUUUCGUGUCCAGGUGCCCGGCGCCGCCCGGCUGCCUACUCCGGGAGAGAAGGGGGGCGUGGGGGGGGCCGGUCGCCGAGUUCCGAGCCCAGGCCUGCCCGCCGGGGACAUCCUUGGGGCUGCUCGCUGCUCCCCUAGGAGGACGGCGGGGAGAGAGGCUCUCGCCCGCCCCGCGGGGAUGCCGGCCGAGACGCCGGGCACCUCCAUCCAGAGCGCUCGGCUUGCAGCCCCCCAGCGAGACAAACGCGCGGUCCACGCGCGGGCUGGGGAUUUGUGCCCUGGGUGUCCUCGGCCGGUGUCCGCCGAGGCGGCGCGCUCCGGUUAGCGCGGCCCAAACUUUGCUCAGCGCCUUCUCUGUGGCUUGCUCCGUUUCCAGUCCUGCUGCGCUUUCUGGGGUUCUUUAUUUUAACCAUACCUCCAAGACCCCCCUCAGCUCCCCCUUCCCCUAUGCCGCCCCCUCCCAGGCCCUUCCUCUUCCUUACUGAGCCGACCCCUCUCCUCGUUCUGGCAAUCCCUCCAACUAGUUAUGAGAAGCUCUCCUUGGAACGCUGCGGAACCUACUAAACUCACCAGACCCUGCUCUUGGAGACAAUGCACGACACGGUGGACCAGGCAGUAGUUAGAUUCCUACUCCUCUUUUUAACUUAGACAAAGCCAGUUAAUUUUUCUGUGCCUCAGUUUCCUCCUAGGGAAAUGGGAGGGAAAGACCUCUUCCUCGUUUUAAUUCAACAGCCUGGCCAUCCGAAGUUAUUUUCAAUGUACUGUUGAUGGAGCUAACAAAGUAAAACUCUGAAAGUGUCAGGGACUGUAAAAGGACAGUAAUGGCAGGAAAAAGGAGUGGAGAAACUCCCAGAUGAGGCGGUUCCCUGCCCAAGCCUGAGGAGUUCUAGCACAUUGUCUUCCAUACCUUCACUUCCCACUUUCAGGAAGUUGUGAAGGUGUGGUGAUGACAUUGCGGUGAGAAGGUGCUUGGACAGGUCCUUGUGUCAACUGCUCUGCCAGAGUUGGGUGUGGUGCUUUGCCUCCUCCAGUGGCCAAAGAGAGGGAAUUACUGAGGUCAGUAAUUGAGCUGGUUCAGGGUAGAGACAUAUAUUUACAGCAGAACCUCUCUGUUGAAGUAAUUCUGGCUGUGAGUUAAGAGACUGGGGUUCCUGGUUCUGCCACUAGCUAGUUGGAGGAUCAUGGGGAAAAUGACAGCUUCUCAGGUAGGAGAAAGUUGGACUAAAUGAUCUCCAGGGUCCCUUGGAGUCUGGAUGCUUAGAUUGUGUGAUCUUUCCUGCUUGAGCCUUGUGCUUCAGCACAUCAUGAAGACAGCUCUGCUUAGCCUCAGCCCCACAGCUCCAAAUUGGAGAGUUCUUCUGAUGGCCAAAAUUUGCUUUCCCAUAGCUUGUUCUUCCCUCCCCUGAGCCUUGUUCUUUCCUCUGAAACACAGAGUGAGCCUACUCUUCUAUACUGUGGCCACUCAGUCCCAAGUGGGCAUGCCCAGUUGUAGUGUGUGCAGGUGGGAGGCCCUGGGAAAGGAUCUCCCUUCUCUCCUUGGGACACCCCUUCUCAAUGUGGCUACCAUUUUGUUAAUGUGGUAACCAGGGGGAUCCUCUGCACAGAUUAAAAACAGAGGAAAGCAGUUGCUUUGUGACCCUGAAGUUAAUGAUGUCCCUUCUUUCCUCCCACCCCCCAAUACACUUUUCCCUUACCUCAAGUGUGCUUUCUCCUUGGAGACCAGAACUAGUUUGCCAUCAUGGUAAUCUCACAUGCUGGCUCCUGAUUUCUAACUCCUGUUGUCUUUCUCAUCCUUGGCUAUCAAUUCUUUGGGUCUGUUUGGUUUCCCUUCUAGAUGAAUCUUAACUCUCUGACUGAGUUUCCUUUUUUUUUUUUUUUUUUAAAUUUUUUUUUAAGUAAGCUCUACACCCAGUGUGGGGCUCAAACUCACAACCCUGAAAGCAAGAAUCAUGUGCUCUACAGACUGAGCUAGCCAGGCACCCCCCCCCCCCAACUGGGUUUCCUUAAUCUUUGUUUCCUUUCCCAAACUGACCCUUCCCCAGAAAAAUGUUCCUAGCUUCCAAUUCACCAAUGUCUUUAUUUCUCUAACCAUCAUUUAAAAAUAUAUAUAUUUAUUUAUUUUUGGGAGCGCACAAGCAGGGGAAGGGCACAGACAGGGGGACAAAGGAUCCGAAGCGGGCUCUGCACUGACAGUCUGACAGCAGUGAGCCCGAUAUGGGGCUCCAACUCACCACGAGAUCAUGACCUGAGCUGAAGUCAGACAUUCAACCGACUGAGCCAACCAGGUACCACCCCAACUAUCAUUUUUAAAGAGAGCCCAAGCCUGGGUACUGAUGGGUCAUUUGUUUCCUCUUCUCAGCCUCUUAGAACCCCGAAACCUAUCUGCUGUGCAGGGUGUUUUCAUGCUGGGCUGUCCCAUUGUAUUCUACUUUUUCCUGAAUUUCCUUUUGGAAUGAGAUUUAAACAGUGGCUGUGGUUUCUGGCUCCUUGUUUCCCAUCCUUCUUUGUUUUAAAGAAGCCCAGACAUCUUUCAUCAAAGUCCUCUCUUGUCCUAUAGGUCUUACUCCCAGCUCAGAACUCUUCCCCUGGAGGGACAGCAGGGGAGGAGGAAUUUAAAAAUAGAGGUAAGGAAAGUCUUGCUAGCAUUCCCUCCUUUACACCCUGGCAUACCAACAGCAACCAGGGCAAUAAAACUUCCCUCCCAGGACUGCAUCCGUGGCCUUGACCACAGCAACCAGAGUCCCAUCUUGGCUCUGCUUCCCAACAAGCCACCCUGCCUCCUUUCUCUAGCAGUCCCUGCCAACUCACUCUACCAUCAGCCUUCCUGUCAUCUGUUAAGGCCAGCCUCCUUUACCAAGAACCUUUCAUUUGCCUGUCCCCAUGUGACGGGUACAUUGAUCUGAUGCUGGAAGAAGUGUAUGGAGAAAUGGCAGUCACAAACUCCAGGGUGGCAAAGUAAUGACAGGGGAGCAUGCUUCCUGCUUCAUCUUCAUGGAAUAACCCAGUAGUUUAAGAUAUGGAUGAUGUGCAAUUUGGGCUCCAUAUGUAGAAAGAGAUACAACCACAAUUGGAGUAACUUUAGAGAAAAACAACCCAAAUCUUUAACAGAUAGAAAAUGGGUCCCUUGGACAAAAGAAUUAGAGCUGUUCACUCACUCAUUUAAACAAAUAUUUAUUUAGCACAUACCUCGAGCAAGGCAUUGUGCUAGGUCGCUUAGAUAUAAUGAUGACUAGAUUAUGGUUUCUGCCCUCUCAACAGCUGUCUCUCUAGGGAGAGUUCAGGUGCAUAUAUAAAAAUAAUCGUAAUAUGAAACAAUCAUUAAGUUUUACAAAUAUAGAAUCUAGAUGUUACUGUGACACUUCUGGAAAUGGGAUGUGGCGCUUUCAGCUAAUACUUCAUGCAAGUGGUGACAUUGCAGGAGAUCUUGAGGAGUUGGUAAGAUUUUAAUGGAUAUGGAAAGAGAAGGCCAUUCCAGGCAGAAAGCAGGGUAAACAAAGACCAAGGAAAAGUUAAUGUUCGGGAAUGUUGAGCAUCUGGGUUUGAUGAAGCAGAGAGUAGGAGGGAGAAUAUAGGAUGGUGCUAUAUUAUGAAAGACUUUGAAUAACAACCUCAAAGACUGGUAUUUUUUUCAGUAGAUAAGAAAAAGCAGUUGAAAGUUUUAGAAUAGGGUAGGUAGCAUUAUAGGAUGGAACCGGCAAGGGUAAAACAGUGUUAUGAUACUUUAGUAUGGAUGAUGCGUGAACAAACAGGGUACUGAAGGUCCCUUGCUGUGGCUGGCAUUAACCCUUUAGCUGCUGAGUCAUGAAGCUCUCCUGGGGACAGGUUAGGGUGGUAGUGGGACAUUCAGAGGGCUUGGGGCACUCACUGUAUACCAACAUGUUCAUAAGUAUUUCUGAAUUUUGGGGCACCUGGGUGGCUCAGUGGGUUGGGUGUCCGACGUCAGCUCAGGUCAUGAUCUCACCGCUCGUGGGUUUGAGCCCCGCGUCGGGGUCUGUGCUGAUAGCUCGGAGCCUGGAGCCUGCUUCGGAUUCCAUGUCUCCCCCUCUCUCUGCCCGUCCCAUGCUUAUGCUCUGUCUCUCUCUGUCUCUCAAUAAAGAAUAAAUGUUAAAAAAAAAUUAAAAAAAAAGUAUUUCUGAAUUUUAAUAACUGGUACAGCUGUACUGGUGUGUACCAGCUGAAAAGCAGCCCUGGGAACAGACUAUUAUUGGAAGUUAAAGACUCUCCAUUCUGGCAGGUUUUAACAAGUUAUACCCAUUUGUUCAGAUUGGAUUAGCUAAAUCCUGCCUGAGGGCAGAGGUCUGGACUAAAAUGGUUUCUAGGUUCUUUGCUCUAUAAUUGACCUACUGCUGGGACUAACUUGUUGCUGGAGCCAAGAGAUUGCAUUUGGGCACAGAGCCAGGGCAGAAUGAUAGCAUGCACCAGCCUCUUUCUAGAUCUCACAAGGCUGGGUCUGGUAUGUCUCCGUUUUAGUGCCAGGUUUACCUGCUGAACCCCAAAGUAUUCUCAAGCCCAGGAAUUAAUCGGCUUUUGCUGCCUUAAAUCUGCAACACAUCUCUCUGGUUGGCCCUUGUGAUUUCUGAUUGACUUUGAAUGGGCUGAAGCAGGCACACCCACAGAUGUCAGCUCCUGGGGUCAGGGUUACCACAGCCAUUCUGACCUGGAAAGGAUACAGACCCUCUAGUAACUCAGGGCUGAACAGUAACCUGAGAUGCAGGCAGACAGAGAAGGAGAAGCAAAUGAGACCGAUGUGUGGGCACAGCGGGGAUGGUGUGGCUGAGGGUUGACACUCAGGCAGAGAGACAGAGGGAGACAGAGCAUGAGCAGGGGAGGAAGACACAGAAUGUGAAGCAGGCUCCAGGCUCCGAGCUGUCAGCACAGAGCCCGACUCAGGGCCAGAACUCACAAACCGCGAUAUCAUGACCUGAGCCGAAGUCGGAGGCUCAACUGACUGAGGCACCCAGGCGCGCCCCCCCACCCCGCCCCCGCCAUCACUUCUAUUUAGUUCCAACACAUUUUCAUCAUCCCCAAAGGAGACUCUGUACCCAUGAAGCAGUCAUUCUGCAUUCCUUUAUCCCCAGCCCCUGACAACCUCUAAUCUGCUUUCUGUUUCUAUGGAUUUACUUAUUCUGGAUAUUUUGUAUAAAUGAGUUCGUAUAAUAUGUGACUUUUGUGUCUGGCUUCUUUCACUUAACAUAAUGUUUUCAAGAUUCAUCCAUAUCAUAGCAUGUUAUUAGUACUUCAUUCCUUUCUAUGGAUGAAUAAUAUUCCAUCGUUUGGGAUAUAUCACAUUUUGUUUAUCCAUCCAUCUGUUGAUGGACAUCUGGGUUGUUUCCACCUUGGCUAUUGCAAGUAGUGCUGCUAUGAACAUUGAUGUGCAAAUAUUUGUUUGAAUACCCAUUUUCAAACAUCUAGUCCAGAUGAUUAGAUGAUAAAUCUAUGUUUAGCUUUCUGAGGAACUGCCUUCAUUCACUCUUGUUGCACGAACCAGGUAGUAGCUUCUUCCCUGUCAUGCUUGUUCUCCCCCUCUCCAUUCUUAAACCUCACCUCAUCUUCAAGUCAGGAUGUAGGCAUUUUAUUUUUCUUGUUUUUGUCACCAACAGCCCCAAACCCAGCGUUCCUAAGCUGUUCUUGCCAUCUUCUUGUUGUGCCUCUUGUUCAGUAGCACAGCCAUCUUCAGAGUGUUUUGAUUUGCUACCCUAAGUGCUUCCUAGCUUGUUUCCAGCCACUGUGAUCCUUCAAUCCUUGCCUGGGUGCAAUGCACAGUGGGUUUCUUAGUCUCUUCCCAUCCUCACUCCUCCUCUUCCACACCCACCCUAGAUUUCCUGUGCAGUGGCUAAACAAUAAACAGACCUGUCUCUACUCUUCUAGCUUUAUGCCCUCCUCACCCCCACUGUCCUGGCCAUUUGCCAAGUCCUCUGUGCUUUCUCCUGGGCUUAUUAAUAAAUACCUUAGCAAUGCCCUACAGUUGACCUGAAGAGAGAUUGUUUUUCCCUCUUCCUAUUUGAUGCUGCUUCUGAUUGGGUAUCAUGAAGCCAGCCUUUAUGUUUCUUAGAGCUGAGAAGUGGUUUUGAAUGAGAUGCUAAACUCCCCAGCUCUCACACCACAAUUUCCACCCAGGUCCAACUGCCACCCGAAGAAUAGACACUUCAGACUGCAGGUCACUACAAGGCUAACCUAUGCUGGCUUUGGAUGCUCCAAACCAUUGCUUCCUACCACACAUCAGAAUGAUGCUCUCUGACCCAUGUUGAAUUUGAAUAGCUAUAUCCAUGGCCCCAUUUAAUGUUGACUUCCUGAUUUUAUUUUGUUCUUUAUAUGUUCCUUGUAUGUUUAUAUAUACCCAUGUAGUUAAUUUCAGUUAGUUCUCAGGAAGCAAGGAUUCUUACAUGUAUAAGAUAAUAGGCUUGGGGUAGGUGAGAGAAGCAGGUAUGGAGGAUGGUAGCUACAGAAAAAGAAAAAUUUCAGAUUGGAAUAACAAGCCGAGGAAAGCAGAUAUGUGGGGCUAGGUUAGAAGACCCAGAACAGCAAAGUAGAGGAAUUUAUAUUGAUAAGGCAGCAUUUAUAACUUUGUCUUCGUGGAUAUUCUCAAGUCCAUCCUUAAAGAGGCUUCCUCAGCAAGCUAGACAGCAAGCUUCCUAGCCAAGCUAGAGCAUUGCCCUGCCCUGAAAAGAAUCUUAGUGAUGGUGUCACCUGGAUAGUGGAAUUAGAAAAUCCAAUGAUAAAUGGCAAGUUGGUGAACUAGGGGCACAGCAAUGGAGCUUUGGUGUGAAGAGAAGACCCAAAAUCUAGUAGCGGUCUGGGUCAGAGCCCAGAGCCCCCAACAAUGUAAAACCUGAGGACAGGACUCUUUUAGGGGACUGGAGAGGCUUCUAGGGACUGAUAGUCUCCCUUCAGGAAGCCUGAGCUGGUGCAGGGAUAACAUCAUGAGAGUUGCCUUCCUGGCUUUGGCCAUUUUGACCUUUGUAUGUUUAGCUCAGAGGGGCAGGGGUCAAAAACUUAAGGUAUAAGCAGAUGACUUAAGUAAAUGAAGCAGGCCAUAUGUAAGUAUAAACACACACUUUGUGUGAAUUAUAUGCACCAUAGUGCAAUGGAGAACCUAUGCUCUCAAUACCUAGAAUAGGGCCUUGCCUGUGGCAGGCACUCAAAAAUUCAUUUGUUAAAUGGAUGAAAAAAGGGAUGGCCACUUCUUGGCUCCAACCCUUUAUUUCCAUUUGGUUAUGGGCCCUGUUUUGGCAGUUACCCUACUUUUCAAGAGAAACUAGAAAUGUGGAGUUUUUGUGAAAUCUCCCAAGUUUUAAGUGUUGACUCAAAUUUAUUUAAAGCACCCGAAGGAGUGAACCCGAAGGAGUUUGCAACUCCUAACUUACGGCUUUGAUCUCUAGCAAAUGCAUAGGUUAUAAGAAGUAAGUCUUUAAAAUGUUAUCUUGCACCUAUCAAGCUGAAUCAAGGUUCUUAGAGCAAGUUUCCAUGAGGAGACUCAUGGGAGGAGGCAAAUCUAAGAUUCUGACUAAGUUGUACUUGUGGCUUAAUUCCUAUCAUGUCUAAAACUCCAAUGGUAGGUGGAGGGGGACAGGAUAACUGAACUGGGCAGAAUGGUGUAGUGGAAGAAGCCUGGGAUUUGGAGCCUGUCCAGCUGGUAUACACCAAUCCACUUGUGCUGAAAUAUUGAAAUAAUUCUGUAUUGGGAGGUGAACACAUGCUGCCCUGAAUCUUCUGGGUGCCCCUCCCCCCCCAAACCCCCACUGCAACCCUCCAGACCUCCAUACCAUCUAGCAGUCAAAGAGGCAGUGCCUGGCCAUUAUUAAGUCCUCAGUACUGUGCUCUGUUGCCAGGGCUGACAUCUAUUCUCAGUAGUCAGUGCUGGUGCUGUAGCACUGGUCAAGUAUUUUGAACUCACCCCUGGGUAAACCUGAGUUUGAAUCCUAGCUCAACUUCUUACUUAGCUGAGUAUUCCUUGACAAAUUACUUAACCUCUUUCGGCUUAAACUUUCUUUAUCCUUAAAAUGGGGAUACUACUACUACUACUGCCCUAUUGGUAGGAUUGUUGUAAAAAUUAACAGAGAUCAGGCUACUAAUAUUAUUGUUUUCCAUGUUCUAAGCAGGAAACAUCAUCCUUUCUAACCUUAUCUUUACACACAACUUGGAGAAGAAGAGGUCAGAGACGGGCUGGGGUUUGCAAAGUGGAGUGACCAGUUGGGUCUCCAAAGUUGGUGAUGCUAAUGAAUCACCAAGAGGUUGUUAAAUAUGGAUCCCUCAUGAAAUUCUAAUUCUGUAGGUAUGGGCGGCAAAGUGGGGGGGGGGGUCCAGGAAUCAUUAUUUUUAUCAAGUAUCCUUAGAUCCUGAUUGACAGCCAAAUCCAGGAAUUAUCUUAUUCUCUCAUCUAGGUGAGGAACAGUGUCGUCUCCUGCCUCUCCAUCUUCACACAGAACCCAGUGCAUCACUCUACCUGCAUCAGGUGCUCAGUGUACAGGAUGGACUGAUGAGCCAAUGUGAACUGACUAGUGCUCCUUAACCAGUUGGGUUGCAGGCCUUUUCCCCACCCUUUGUUGCUGCGUCUGUCAUAGACCUUGUCCCAUCCCCCAGGUGUCCUUAGGUGUCCCCUAAGGCAAAGAACAAGGGGAGAAGAAGCCUAGGCAUCUUGUUGGGCUUUAAGACUAACUAGACACACAGGGUGAGGAUCGGAUUUCCUUCCCAGGAGGGGAGAUCCGGUCUAGGCAGAUUAGCUUGUUUAUGAGUGUUUUCUCCAUCACAUCCCCUUAGGGCAUGGACCCAGUUGGCUGACCUUGGUCAAGCCACCUGUUAACAGGCUUCCUGUGCCCUGAACUGGGCCUCCAGCACCCUCCUGCCCCCUUGUCUUCGUCAGACACUCUGACUUGUAGCAGCUGUCAUUGUUGAGUGCCUCUUCUGGCAGCUGCACUCAGUGCCUCAUAAUUAUAUCCCUGGGGGGCCUUCCUUGGAGGUAGAAGAUUAUAGCACCGCCUUGAGGGUUCUGCUCCCAGUGUUGUAUUAGUUCCAAAUGAUAAGGACAUGGAAAGCAGCAUAGGGAUAGAAGGCUGAGAGACAGAUGCAAUGAGAUCAGAAGGAGAAACCAGAGACAGGAAAAAGAGGAAGUGACAGGGGGAAAAAAUCUCAGGAAGAGAGGCCAAGAAAGACCUGAGGAAAGAGAGGUUAAAAUCUGGGAAGCCAGGGGGCACCUGGGUGGCUCAGUCAGUUAAGUGUGGACUCUUGAUUUCGGCUCAGGUCAUGUUCUCACAGUUCCUGGGUUUGAGGCCCAUAUCGGGCUCUGUCACAGUGUAGAGCCUCUUUGGGAUUUUCUCUCUCCUCUCUUUGUUCCUCCUCCACUUGUAAUCUCUCUCUCUC